CAAGAGUCAGAUACUCAACGCUCAACCUAUUGAGCCAGCCGGGUGCCCCCAUAGUGCACAUUUCAUGGGGUCCGUUUCACGAACACUACUCUAUAGAAGGCAACGGAUGCUACAUUACUCCCUCACCUGGUCACUUUCUUCAGGUGGCUUCCAGGAGACAGCUCAUCCCUCCCUGGUGCUCCUCCUUGUCUACUUGGCUCGUUCCUCCUCUUCCUCCCUACUCCUCUGUGCUGGCUGGCAUGCCCUCAGACCCCACCUGAGAAUUUUAUAUCAUUUAACUCUUUAAGGGGUCUCAGCCAAUGCUGUGGCGGUAAGAGCCGAUGACUUCCAAAUGUAUCUCCAGCUUUGGCUUCUGGGAUCCAGUUUUAUGACAGCCUUACCCAGCUUAACUGCUGCCUUGGCAUCUCAACCUGGAUGUCCCACAGGCAUUGCAGAUGCCUCCGAGUAUCCUUGUCUUUCUCCGUCUGCUCCCUCUGUUUGCCCUCCGUGAAAAGCGCCAACACUCACUUGGCCCCCCAAAGUGGAGGUCAUACUUGAGGGCGGAGAGUCUGACCCGUCACUCAGUUCUGACCCCAUGUCCAGCCCAGGGGUGCUGGAGGGAGACAGAGGGCCGUUCUAUAAUGCUAUUGUGUGGCCACUCCCAUGCUGGGUUUGGGCAGGUGGGGACAGAAGUGGGAAGGAGGCAGGGGGAGUGCAGCCCCUGCCCUCAAUGGAUUUCUGGGUGGCAGGGAGUCCAGACCCUUCACUCUUCAAGGCAGUGCCCACUGGACUCGGGGCCAGACCCUCAUAGACAAGGAGGGUGCUGGGUCUGCAAAGCAGGGAAGGUGUUCUAGAGGAGGCAGGACUUGGGGUUGAACAGAAUGAAAGAGGCAAGGCAGCAGGUGUCUCUGGGGACAGAUCAGGGGCAGCAGGGCCAGAGAAAAGGAGUCACGGUAGACCAGAAAGGGCUGAACAGGCCCUGAUUGGGCACCCCAACUCCGGGCUGGGCCUUAUGUGUGGUGUUUUGAGUACUGCUCAUGGACUUAGGAGGUCGAUAUCUCUCAGAGGAGGAAAAGGUUAAGUCACAGGUGGUUGAGGGCCAGCAGAGAUCCGGACCUGGGUCCCUCCUCUCCAAAGCCUGACCUCGCCUUGUUCCAUUGUCCCAUUCCCUAGGUCACCAGGCCUUGGAAGGUCCCACAUCUUAUAGAUGGUGGAAGCAAGCAGAGGUUUGCAGGAAACACGAUUACCAGCCGUGGAAAGCCGGUAUCUCGUCCCACACAGAAAGUAACAACAGCAACAAAAAUACAUAAAAGAACAAAACAAAGUGAGUCGAUUCUACCUAACCCUGAGGUUUCUGUCUGCCUCUGAACCCGAGACUGCUUUUUCUCCCUUAAAGUGGGUUAGCCCGGAGGCGCUAGAGAUUUGCCUGUUCCAAACCAGGACUGAGGAGGCCCAGCCUCCUCGCUCCAUGCCUCCCUGGCCUGUGACCCCUUCUGCGCCUCGGUGCCACUUUCCUUUGGGAGCCAUGGAGGAACUGGGGGCGGUGGGGGGGGGGGACUCCUGUGACUGUGGAGGUACCGGUCACUCAACAAGCACUGGAGAAGGACCUCCUUCCCAGUUCCAGGCGGUUCUGGGGCAAGGUGGGCCCUGGAGGCUGUCCACUGUCCCCUUACACCCUCGCUUCCGGACAGACCCGAGUCCUCGUGUGCGGUUGGGUGUUUCCUCCAGCUGGCCGCAUCUGUGCACUUCCCGGAGGCUGGGGUGAACCUCUGAUGUCUCCCUCCUGUUGGAGGCCGAUGGCCACAUCUGGCCACCAGCCCGGCGGCUUAUGCAAUCUGACAAAGGCCAGAUGUUGCUUUCUCCCUUCCUCCAGUCCUGCGGCUCCUGGCUCUCAGCUCGAGGUCCCCAACACACAGGCCCCUUCUUGGGAUCCACGAUGCUGAGAGGGGUCUCGGGAACUGCCCUAUCUGGGUCGCGUCCCGCAGGACUGUGGCUCUGCAGUGUGACCCCCGGGUCUCCAUUUCAUCCCCCCAUUCACUCGUGAGUAAACACGGAGGGGCCCUGGGUCCCAUGAGGGUGACAUGAAAUGACACAGUACUUCCAAAGCUGGGGAGCCCCGGCCUCCACUAACAUUCGAGGCCAUCCAAGGUGGUGCUCAGAUGGACAGUUGCGUGUGUGUGUUUUAAACAGCUAAGCAUUCAUUUUGACGUGUAUGAAGCACAAAUAACAAGCACACCAAACAAUUUCAGUUUUCUGUGUAUGAUAGUUAUACCUUUCUUUUCUUU